AACGAACGCUGGCGGCGCGCUUAACACAUGCAAGUCGAACGAGAAGCUGUAGCAAUACAGUUGUAAAGUGGCAAACGGGUGAGUAAUGCGUGGGUAAUCUACCCUCGGGUGGGGAAUAACUCUUCGAAAGGAGAGCUAAUGCCGACAUGUGCAGCACUUUCGCAAGUAGGUGCUGGAAAGCCGUACCGUGGGUGCGGCGCCCAAGGAUGAGCUCACGUCCUAUCAGCUUGUUGGCGGGGUAACGGCCCACCAAGGCUCCGACGGGUAGCUGGUCUGAGAGGACGACCAGCCACACUGGCACUGCGACACGGGCCAGACUCCUACGGGAGGCAGCAGUGAGGAAUAUUGCGCAAUGGGCGAAAGCCUGACGCAGCGACGCCGCGUGGGGGA
rnacentral:rRNA from 1 species